rnacentral:SRP_RNA from 1 species
CCGUGCUAGGCGGGGAGAUAGCGGUGCCCUGCACCCGCAAUCCGCUCUAGCGGGGCUGAAUCCCCUCCCGAGGGGCGACGGCCCUCGGGGUCAGCGCGCCGCCGAGGCGUUGAAGGCCCGGGUGCCCAUGCGAUGCAGGCCCGUGAACCAGGUCAGGUCCGGAAGGAAGCAGCCUUAAGCGGUCACCGGCAGGCGCAGCGGGUCAUCCGGCCGGAGCCACCGGCGACGUCAGCGCCUGAGGACCGAGCUUCGACGGAGGGUGCACGG